ensembl:lncRNA
UCCAGAAAGGGUGCGCUCCGGGAGCGAGGGGACUGCUCUGAGUUGCCACCGGGUGAGCCAGCUUGAUUUUUGGCGAGCUCCGCUCCGCUCUCUCCUACCUCUGCCUCUCGCCACGGCCCCGCGCAGCCUCCGCUCCAAUUCGCCCCGGCGCUCCCGCUCCGCGUUAUCCCUUGCAGAGUCUCCGCUGCCGCUGAUGCAUCAGAGCGAGGGGCUCUUGCUAUUCGCCUUUUGCAUAAAGGUUUUUUUUUUUUUUUCCUCCUUUUCCUCCUCUCUCCCUCCCUUCUCUGCCUCCUCUCUCUUUUUGCAGCUUGCAAACUGCAGCUGGAAGUGUUAGCUGGUGGUGUUGCGAGUAAAUUUGUUGUUGUUGGUUUGUUUUGUUAUUUUUAACACUUCAUGGUGCCUUUCCUCUGGGCUUUCUCAUGCAAAGUGCAGAGCGAGAAGAGACGUUCAUCGGGGAAGGGAGGAGGGAAAAAGAGAAGCGAAGGCAAAAAAAAAGAAAACAAGAAAAACAAAAAAUCAAAGUCUGUAUCGCAACUAAAAUAACAAAAACAGUUUAAAAAGAAGAAAAAGGGGGGAAACAACGCAAAAACACUCGACCCCAAAGCUACAGCAAGAAGAUGAAAAAUAUUUUAAAGGUUUCAUCCAGCAGGAGAGUUUAAAAGCAUUGCUGAGUUUUAUAGCGCUCCUGACGUCAAAUGGGAAAUUGGCUCGGCCGCCGGGCCAAUGGGCUGCCGCCUCCCGGCCCUCAUUAGCAUAAUAGUAUAGAAACAAGGAAACUUUUCGGAGCUGUCAAUCAGGGCCCCAUCAGCUGACUGUCAGCUGGGGAGCGCCUUAACCCCUUCCUACCCACCGCCGCCCGCCGCACUCACUGGGCAAACGGGUGCGGGACGGGGCCGCGGAGGGGGCCGCUGCUCUUCGCUAUCGCGCCGGCCUCCCCUCCCGCACCCCCCCAUCCUCCGGGAGGGGGAUGGGGCCGGGGCAGGGGGGGGCUGUGGAAGCGGCGAGCGGGCUGGACGCGGAGCUGCGGAUCGGCUCGGUUUAAACCUCGACAGCGCCAUCUCUCGUCGAAAGGUCAGUGCCGAGACAGUCCCCGACCGGUGCGGGGCCGCGGUGCAGCCGGGCCGGGUCCCGCCGUCGGGGGGUGGCCCCGCCGCAGUCGCCGCUGUCCCCGGCCGGGCCCGGGCCCGGCGCGGCUCGGCCCAGCCAGGCCCGGCAGCACCGCGGUCCCCGUCUGUGGGCUGGGGAACGCUGCAGCCUCCGGGGCUGCCAUGCUCGAUUUUCCAGCCGGGCUUUAUGGGAAUAUCGAUAGAAUUAAAGUUACUUGUAAUUCCGUGAUAAAUGAGAUGUCUCUAGUAAGUAAGAUUAAGUGCAGUGCUAUAAAGUUGUUUAUCUGAAAAGUAAUUCUCAGAAACCUGACUUCUGACACUUGGUCAUAUAUUAAACCAGCUUCUUGAACAUUGUACUUCAAAUCCUCCCCGCUCCCCUUGCCCGGUCCCUUCCCCCUUGCAGUUUGCUAUUUAUAACUGCGCACAGGGUAUUACUUUGUAGGUGCGGGCAAUCUCUGGGUAAGUUUUCGCCGACCAUGAAAAUCAUCAUUUGCAAAAGCCAAAGAAUCUCUGCUUAGAAAAUAGUGCUCGGCUAGUGGAUUUACAAAUGGAUAACACCUUCUGACUAUGCCAUUAUCAGUACGAGUGCCAGUACUAACAUCUGAAAGUCAUACAGCAUGUACUGUUCCUGGCAGCUAAGAAAGGUAGGGCAUACUGCAAAUUUAGGAAGAUAACUACAUCUAGAAAUGAUCAUAGAGGCAAUUCUGCAAAGCUAAAAAACGCUACCAGCAUCACUGGCAAAAUUAAAAUGGAGUUCUGCACAGUCCCAAAACACACGCACAUACACAGAGCUGUGGACAUCUGCUAGCUUUAUCUUACAGAUUGCGAUUCAUGACAAAGUUAAUACAACUUAACUACUUGGGCUGGCUUUCCUAUUUCUUCCCGUUGUUAGAAUCAACAAAACUUCCAGGCUCACGGCAUAAAUCCCCCCAGGACAGUCUAAUUCCCUGUAUUUGUUUUUUUCCCCGAGCAAGAUGAAUGUGAUACUGUAUAUCACUUAACAUGCGCACCUAUGAGAGACAUAAAAUGUGUGCUAAUAUUUUUAAAUGAAAAGGUUAUUGCUUUUCAGAACGUACAGUCAUAGUAUUUCACUUGCCCGUUUGAUAGAUGGCUGUGGAAGUGUGGCUCCAGCCCCAUAAAAUAGUUUGUUUGGACGUGAGGAUUCAAAGUGCUACAUUUGCAAACGAAUAAAUUUCCUGAGUACACUCUGAACUCUAGACAAAGAGUAUGAAAUUGUGUGAGCUAAUGGGGACCAUCCCUUAAUUGAUACCAAUGUAAGCUGCAAAUUAAUUGAUGCUGUGACCUACCAGAACAGCGAGUAAAAUUAUUAGUUGUACACUAUUGUUCUCGUGUGAUUGUUACACAGAACUGCUGCACCAAAAUGUCUCUGCUGUUCAGAGCAGCAGAGAAAAAAAGAUUGUUAGCAAUUUUUGGAUAACCUUCAGAAGCAACAUUCUCCUCCCUACGCUAUGUAAUUCUCUUUUUAGUAGUAUUUUUCUUUAUUAUUUGGCUAUUCACAAUGGGUGUCUAAACAUUUACAGUCCUCUAUUAACAGUGUUUCUUCCAUAACAAUCACACACUUUCAUUUCAAUUAGAGCUAUUCAGUCUCCAGUUUUUCCACAAUUAUCACAGGCCAAUUCCCCCAGACUGCUCCCUUUUCCCACCACUGUUUGUAACAAUCCUGCCCUGAGCCAGGCACAGAGGGAAAACUCCAGCGUCCCUUUCACAGCCUCUUGCUCCCGUUUGUUUUCAAGCAUCGCCGUUCGACGACACAAUGUGGAGCCCUGCUUGCUCCCUGUUUGCUGCUGACCUGGUUCAUAAGCCUUAAAACUAACACAUAUUUAUUGUGGGAGAGUGUUCUGACAAAUCAUGCAGGGAGAUGUGAAACAUUAACUCCCAGUACACUCUGGUCGGCCUGCACUGGGAUGAGCAUGCCAGCAGUGUGUGCAGGAACUUCCAUCGCUGAAGCCUGCGUGCGUGUGUAUCUCACACAGAAGAUUUAGCAGAAGAGAAUGUGCAGGUUAUGAGUUAUAUGGACUCAGAGUGUAAUUUGUUAUAACUUAAACACAUAUCAAGACCAACACAUUAAGUACAGUUACUGCUCCUUUUGUUUAUCUAGUGUCUUAUUUUAUGGUGCAGAACUAAACAGUGUCCGCUGAAUUUAACUAUGAAACCAGCCAAAUUGAUUUCAGAAAGACUUCUUCAGAGUAACAGAAUGAUAAGGCAUAAACUGCUCCUAGGUGCAGGGCUAGAUAAAUCCUUUUAACAGUCUUCAGAUCAGUUAACAGGGUAAGUAAAUCACAUAUCACUGUUAGCAGAUUUAUGGGAAAGAAUUAAUAGAAUCAGACGAGAUAAUCUGGUAGGGAUAAAAUUGCUGAGGAAACAGUCCAGCCUUACAUCGGGGGGCAUGAAACAGCAGUCUGAUUACUGGGAGUCAUUAUGGAUUGGUGAAUUAUGAACUAAAUCAUUGUAAGAGUAAGUCAGAAUUUAUUAAUUCUUUUCUCUUUAAACAAUUUACAGACACAAAUAAAAGCCUCUGUCUUUGAAGACACAUUCUUUAUAUAUUUUUAUUGGAUGUAAUUUACUAUUUGCAUUACCUGUAUUUACUUCAUAAUUGAACAUUUUGCAUUCAAAUUUAUGUAAUGCAUUAUGCUUUAGAAUAUAUUUCUCCCUUAUUAGCAUGAAUAGUCACUUACCUCAUGAAUUACUAAGUUUAUCUGAAAAUAUAGGUGUAUUUUUUACUAAGUGGAACACAAACAUAUGUACAAUAAAUUCUUAUUUGCCAGUGGUGUUACAGAAACACAGAACAACCCUGUAUCAGAGAAGAGGGGAAAGAAGCUGCAGCAAAGGAGCAGAAUCAAUUACUGUGCGUAUGUAUGUGACAGUAAUUCCUUCUGUCAAUGUUUUGUUUAUUUUUAAUAAAGAAUGAAUGACUCAAAGGUUUACUUUAGAAGGAGCAGAUGAAAAAGGAUCUCCACCGUGAAUUUCUUUCCUCUGUUUCCCCCAGUACUUCCCAAUGGACUUGGCUGAGACUGUGCCACUGCAGCCUUUGCUCCAGCUGCGUUCCUGCUGACCUGGUCCAUGCCAUGAAUGUAUGCUGCUCUAAACUCACUUUCUCAAACAUUUCUCUCUUUCCCCUAAUCCUGUGUCUAUGCUUGGCUUUAAAUCCAAAUAAUCAAUAUAAUUUAGGCCCAUUCUGCAGUGUUAAUGCAACCUUACUUAUGCAGAGAAAACCCCAACUCUAUUGACUUCAAGAACUGCAGGAUUGAAUCCUUGAUCCUAUUGAAACCAAUGACAAAACUUGUAUUGAUUGCAAUGGAAGCAGGAUCGGGUCCUUAAUGUUAGCAAUUUGUUUAAGUCAGAGGGCUACAAGAAGUGAAGGACAUCAGCAGAUCUGCUGGCAAGAAUACAGGUAAGCUCCCCAAAAUUUAAAGGUAAAAUUCACUUGUGGUAGGUCAUCUUUACACUCAGGUAUUACCUUCUGUGUGCUGGGAUGCCUGUGUAUUUUGUCUGGACGCAUAAAGUCAGUCCUCCUGGGAGCCUUCAAAUGAGCACAUCUAUAAAUGUAGUGCAAUAAAAUGAGCUACUUUUGCCACUCGUGCUUUUCGCAAGCCCGGUACAAUCCAUUUCUGUGACGACAGUUUUCUGCCCCACACGCAUCUGAUACUGCUCUUUUAUUUUAAGGCUGAGAAAAUCUUCCCUUUAAACUCAUGCUGAGCAUCAAAUUGGACUCCACUUGCAGCUGAACAUCUUGACUGUCUCUUCCUUUCCUCCAUCAGCUCCAGUAUAUUUUGUGUAGAAUUCUCUCUGUUAAUAAAACUUACUUCUCCCUUAAUUCUGCAGUUUUGCAUUAGUGUUACUGAAGCCACCAUACCUGCCCUGUUUGAAAAUUGUACAAAGGAGAAGGGGGAAAAAAAGUGGUUUUUGUUUUUUUUUUUUUCCUGUACAAUCUCCUACUUUGCCAUUCUGCACAGAUUCUAAACGUACAUUCUCUACUCAUUUGACUGUAAAGUCUCUGUUGCUAAAUUAGAGUAAAAGUAGCUUGAAAAGGCAGGCUUAAACACAUAUUUUGGUUGCUUUUGUGUCACAUCCAAGAGGGCUUGUGUUUUAUCUCUGGGAAUUGCAAGGUAUUAGCAGCUGCUUAGAUUUUAUUCCCCUGGAAGUGCCUGACAGUCACUAUAUGGAAGAUGCAGCAUCGGUGCUACACCUGAGUGAGUGAGUUUGCUCUGGGUAUCCUGAGUCCAAAUGAGGUGACGGCUUUUUAGCAAUCAAAAUAUUUCCAUUGCUUGCUUAUAACAUUUGUAAAAUGCUAGAAAUAGUCCAAAUUAACUUUGCAUGAUCCAGAAACAGUUUCUCUAUCUAAAGGGAAGACAGCACAGAGGUGAGACUGAAAAGCUGCAGGUGACUCUAAUAUGUGUUUAAAGGUUGGUGUCACAAGAUUUGUACUGUGCUUGCUUCAUAAUGCAUGCCCUAGUUUACUAAUUUUCAUGAAUGGCUUUGCCUAAAUGUAAAAAUCAAUGAAGACAUUUUGAUGCUAAAAAACAAUCUAUUUAUCUAAAAGGAAUAAAAACUGAAAUUGCAAUAAAGAUUUUAUCAAACUUUAUGGUGGAAUUUAUAAUCUAUAACCUGGAUGAUCACAUUCAGUUAUACAGUGUGCUAUUUGUUCUGACAUUAGCUGAAGUGGGUAAAUAGAGAACCUGGUAAAAACUUGUGCAGAAAUUAAUCUGAAAACUCUACAGAGGCAGAAAACUAGUAUUAGUUAAGGAAAGAGAGUAAAACAAUUACAUUAAUGUUAUGUACCUGAGCUGUCCUGUUAAUGUCCUGCAAUAUGCACGCUGCAUUUAUAUCUAUUUUAGCUCAUAAGAAUCUAUGCUGCUUUUCUCCCUUCUGUUCCGCAUUAGGUUAUUUCAGCAGUAAGGAAUGGCUGCAGUGGCAGCAUGAAAAAAUAAGUGAAUUUUAUAUGCUAUCUCCUUAAAGUCACCCAUCAGUAAGUGGUGAGGAGGGCAUGAUUCUGAUGUGAUGUUUUGAUGUAUAACUGUGAAGGCUGAGACGGUCUUUAUUAAAAGUUACGAACUUCAGUGAAUUUUAAAC